rnacentral:rRNA from 1 species
UGAGGAAUAUUGGUCAAUGGGCGCGAGCCUGAACCAGCCAAGUAGCGUGAAGGAUGAAGGUCCUACGGAUUGUAAACUUCUUUUAUACGGGAAUAAAGUGGUCCACGUGUGGAUUUUUGCAUGUACCGUAUGAAUAAGCAUCGGCUAACUCCGUGCCAGCAGCCGCGGUAAUACGGAGGAUGCGAGCGUUAUCCGGAUUUAUUGGGUUUAAAGGGAGCGCAGACGGGGGAUUAAGUCAGUUGUGAAAGUUUGCGGCUCAACCGUAAAAUUGCAGUUGAUACUGGUUCCCUUGAGUGCAGUUGAGGCAGGCGGAAUUCGUGGUGUAGCGGUGAAAUGCAUAGAUAUCACGAAGAACCCCGAUUGCGAAGGCAGCCUGCUAAGCUGUAACUGACGUUGAGGCUCGAAAGUGUGGGUAUCAAACAGGAUUAGAUACCCUGGUAGUCCACACGGUAAACGAUGGAUACUCGCUGUUGGCGAUAUACUGUCAGCGGCCAAGCGAAAGCAUUAAGUAUCCCACCUGGGGAGUACGCCGGCAACGGUGAAACUCAAAGGAAUUGACGGGGGCCCGCACAAGCGGAGGAACAUGUGGUUUAAUUCGAUGAUACGCGAGGAACCUUACCCGGGCUUAAAUUGCAGACGAAUUACCUGGAAACAGGUAAGCCGCAAGGCGUCUGUGAAGGUGCUGCAUGGUUGUCGUCAGCUCGUGCCGUGAGGUGUCGGCUUAAGUGCCAUAACGAGCGCAACCCUCGUGGCCAGUUACUAGCAGGUAACGCUGAGGACUCUGGCCAGACUGCCAUCGUAAGAUGCGAGGAAGGUGGGGAUGACGUCAAAUCAGCACGGCCCUUACGUCCGGGGCUACACACGUGUUACAAUGGGAGGUACAGAAGGCAGCUACCCGGCGACGGGAUGCCAAUCUCCAAAGCCUCUCUCAGUUCGGACUGGAGUCUGCAACCCGACUCCACGAAGCUGGAUUCGCUAGUAAUCGCGCAUCAGCCACGGCGCGGUGAAUACGUUCCC